ensembl:lincRNA Gm13021 predicted gene 13021
GGCCAAACCGUGUGCACUCCAUACUUGGAGACUAGACAUCACAAGUUAUGAGAAGUGGCGAGUCCCGAGGGUACCUGGGGAAAAGAGGAUGCGAGUCCACCCUCCCUCUGGUCUUAGCCUUUGGAGUCAGGCCAGGAGAGCAGGAGCUGCAGAUCCGAAGCCCAGCCCCAGCACCCACAGAGGAUUGCCGCCGCCACUGGACCCUCAGUAUUUAAAUCACCCAUUGACUUAAACAAUCAUACCCUGCCUCUGCUUUGAGAAUAAAGGCCCCACCACCAUG